AUUGAACGCUGGCGGAAUGCUUUACACAUGCAAGUCGAACGGCAGCACGGACUUCGGUCUGGUGGCGAGUGGCGAACGGGUGAGUAAUGUAUCGGAACGUGCCCAGUCGUGGGGGAUAACGUAGUGAAAAUUACGCUAAUACCGCCUACGAUCUAUGGAUGAACGCGGGGGAUCGCAAGACCUCGCGCGGUUGGAGCGGACGAUAUCAGAUUAGGUAGUUGGUGGGGCAAAGGCCCACCAAGCCAACGAUCUGUAGCUGGUCUGAGAGGACGACCAGCCACACUGGAACUGAGACACGGUCCAGACUCCUACGGGAGGCAGCAGUGGGGAAUUUUGGACAAUGGGCGAAAGCCUGAUCCAGCCAUUCCGCGUGCAGGAUGAAGGCCCUCGGGUUGUAAACUGCUUUUGUACAGAACGAAAAGGUUUCUACUAAUACUAGGAGCUCAUGACGGUACUGUAAGAAUAAGCACCGGCUAACUACGUGCCAGCAGCCGCAGUAA
rnacentral:rRNA from 1 species